GACGAACGCUGGCGGCAUGCCUAAUACAUGCAAGUCGAGCGAACAGAUGAAGUGCUUGCACUUCUGACGUUAGCGGCGAACGGGUGAGUAACACGUAAGGAAUCUACCUAUAAGCGGGGGAUAACAUUCGGAAACGGGUGCUAAUACCGCAUAAUAUCUUCUUCCGCAUGGAAGAAGAUUGAAAGACGGCUCUGCUGUCACUUAUAGAUGACCUUGCGGUGCAUUAGUUAGUUGGUGGGGUAAUGGCCUACCAAGACGAUGAUGCAUAGCCGACCUGCGAGCGUGAUCGGCCACAUUGGGACUGAGACACGGCCCAAACUCCUACGGGAGGCAGCAGUAGGGAAUCUUCCGCAAUGGGCGAAAGCCUGACGGAGCAAUGCCGCGUGAGUGAAGAAGGCCUUCGGGUCGUAAAACUCUGUUAUAAGAGAAGAACAAAUUGUAGAGUAACUGCUACAGUCUUGACGGUAUCUUAUCAGAAAGCCACGGCUAACUACGUGCCAGCCGCCGCGGUAA
rnacentral:rRNA from 1 species